rnacentral:rRNA from 1 species
UUUGCCUACGGGACGCAGCAGUGGGGAAUAUUGCACAAUGGGGGAAACCCUGAUGCAGCGACGCCGCGUGAGUGAAGAAGUAUUUCGGUAUGUAAAGCUCUAUCAGCAGGGAAGAAAAAAGACGGUACCUGACUAAGAAGCCCCGGCUAACUACGUGCCAGCAGCCGCGGUAAUACGUAGGGGGCAAGCGUUAUCCGGAUUUACUGGGUGUAAAGGGAGCGUAGACGGCUGUGCAAGUCUGAAGUGAAAUCCCAGGGCUCAACCCUGGGCCUCCUU